rnacentral:rRNA from 1 species
UCGAGAAUCUUUCGCAAUGCCCGAAAGGGUGACGAAGCGACGCCGCGUGGGUGAGGAAGGCCUUCGGGUUGUAAAGCCCUGUCAGGAGUUAUGAAAUGUAAGUGCGAUAAUACUGUGCUUAUUGACAAAGCUC